GGAGAAGUAUCGAAGUGGUUAUAACGGCCCCGACUCGAAAUCGGGUUGUCCAGAAAUGGGCACGUGGGUUCGAAUCCCACCUUCUCCG
rnacentral:tRNA from 1 species